GACGAAGGGGGCAAGCGUUGUUCGGAAUUACUGGGCGUAAAGCGAGUGUAGGUGGUUGUCGUAGUCAGGCGUGAAAGCCUUGAGCUCAACUCAAGAAAUGCGCUUGAUACUGGGCAGCUAGAGGACCGGAGAGGAUAGUGGAAUUCCCAGUGUAGUGGUGAAAUACGUAGAGAUUGGGAAGAACACCAGUGGCGAAGGCGGCUAUCUGGACGGUUUCUGACACUAAGACUCGAAAGCGUGGGGAGCAAACAGG
rnacentral:rRNA from 1 species